rnacentral:misc_RNA from 1 species
GCAGCAAAAGUAAGCUUCUGCUUGCGAAGUUCAAAUCUGAAGAGUCGCUGAAUGGUUGGGAAGUUCGCCAAGGAACUUACUUCCAGGAUGUUGUUGCUGCUAAGUAUGAUGGAGGCAUGGAUGCAAAAUUUGAAUAUACUGAAACUGGAGAGGCUGUCUUCUCAGGAUAUGUUUUUACAAGGGGAGGAUAUGUUGAGUUGUCAACAAAGCUUUCUCUUCCACUGGGAUCCACCCUCGACAGAUAUGAGGGGAUCAUUCUUUCAGUUGGUGGUAAUGGAAGGUCUUAUGUGUUAAUUCUUGAAGCUGGUCCUUCAG